UUUGAUUUCAAAGAUGGCUUCGGCUAUCACUCCAGGAUGGGCCCGCGGUGCAUUAGCUAGUUGGUAAGGUAACGGCUUACCAAGGCGAUGAUGCAUAGCCGAGUUGAGAGACUGAUCGGCCACAAUGGAACUGAGACACGGUCCAUACUCCUACGGGAGGCAGCAGUAGGGAAUCUUCCACAAUGGGCGCAAGCCUGAUGGAGCAACACCGCGUGAGUGAAGAAGGGUUUCGGCUCGUAAAACUCUGUUGUUGAAGAAGAACGUGCGUGAGAGUAACUGUUCACGCAGUGACGGUAUUCAACCAGAAAGUCACGGCUAACUACGUG
rnacentral:rRNA from 1 species